CGCCGAAGCUGUGUCAUUCGUGCAUAUAGAUCGACUCUUCUCGUGAAGGAGUGUCCAGUCGCACGGAUGGGUAGGGGAGCGUCCUGCAUCCAGGGAAGCGGCGGCGGAAGCCAGUCGUGGAGGGUGUGGGAGUGAGAAUGCAGGCAUGAGUAGCGAAUGCAGAGUGAGAAACUCUGCCGCCGGAUGACCAAGGGUUCCUGGGCCAGGCUAAUCCGCCCAGGGUAAGUCGGGACCUAAGGCGAGGCCGACAGGCGUAGUCGAUGGAUAACGGGUUGAUAUUCCCGUACCCGAGCACGUGCGCCCAGGAUGAGGCGGUUGAUACUAACCACCCAAAGCGCAUCGCAAAGCCCUUCGGGGUGGCGUGGUGUUGUGGAGCGUGGGAUCUGAUUCCGUAGUAGUCGAGUGAUGGGGUGACGCAGGAAGGUAGCUCCGCCAGUGAGUGGUAGUACUGGUGUAAGCGUGUAGGCCGAAACAUAGGUAAAUCCGUGUUUCAUGAGGCUGAGACGUGAUGCGUAGCCGAUUGAGGUGAAGUAGAGUGAUCCUAUGCUGCCGAGAAAAGCCUCUAGCGAGUGCGUGCACGGCCCGUACCCCAAACCAACACAGGUGGUCAGGUAGAGAAUACUAAGGCGAUCGGGUGAACUGUGGUUAAGGAACUCGGCAAAAUGCCCCCGUAACUUCGGGAGAAGGGGGGCCAAACAUCCUGAAGCUUCUUGCAGGCUAGGGAUGGGUGGCCGCAGAGACCAGCGGAAAGCGACUGUUUACUAAAAACACAGGUCCAUGCGAAGUCGCAAGACGAUGUAUAUGGACUGACGCCUGCCCGGUGCUGGAACGUUAAGAGGACCGGUUAACCCUUUCGGGGGUGAAGCUGAGAAUUUAAGCGCCAGUAAACGGCGGUGGUAACUAUAACCAUCCUAAGGUAGCGAAAUUCCUUGUCGGGUAAGUUCCGACCUGCACGAAUGGCGUAACGACUUUCCGGCUGUCUCAACCACAGGCCCGGCGAAAUUGCACUACGAGUAAAGAUGCUCGUUACGCGCGGCAGGACGGAAAGACCCCGGGACCUUUACUAUAGUUUGGUAUUGGUUUUCGGUUCGGCUUGUGUAGGAUAGGUGGGAGACUGUGAAGCCGGCACGCUAGUGUUGGUGGAGUCGUUGUUGAAAUACCACUCUGGUCGGAUUGGGAAUCUGAACCUCGGACCAUGAUCUGGUUCAGGGACAGUGCCUGAUGGGUAGUUUAACUGGGGCGGUUGCCUCCUAAAGAGUAACGGAGGCGCCCAAAGGUUCCCUCAGCCUGGUUGGCAAUCAGGUGUUGAGUGCAAGUGCACAAGGGAGCUUGACUGUGAGACAGACAUGUCGAGCAGGGACGAAAGUCGGGACUAGUGAUCCGGCACCACCUGGUGGAAGGGGUGUCGCUCAACGGAUAAAAGGUACCCCGGGGAUAACAGGCUGAUCUUGCCCAAGAGUCCAUAUCGACGGCAUGGUUUGGCACCUCGAUGUCGGCUCGUCGCAUCCUGGGGCCGGAGUAGGUCCCAAGGGUUGGGCUGUUCGCCCAUUAAAGCGGCACGCGAGCUGGGUUUAGAACGUCGUGAGACAGUUCGGUCCCUAUCCGCCGCGCGCGUAGGAUACUUGAGGAAGGCUGUCCCUAGUACGAGAGGACCGGGACGGACGAACCUCUGGUAUGCCAGUUGUCACGCCAGUGGCAUGGCUGGUUGGCCACGUUCGGAAGGGAUAACCGCUGAAGGCAUCUAAGCGGGAAGCCUGUUCCAAGAUGAGGUAUCCCACCCCUUGUGGGUUAAGGCCCCCAACAGACCAUUGGGUUGAUAGGCCAGAAAUGGAAGCACAGUAAUGUGUUGUCGAGUUGACUGGUACUAAUAGGCCGAGGACUUGCCCAC
rnacentral:rRNA from 1 species